GCCGGUGUAGCUCAGCUGGUAGAGCAGCUGACUUGUAAUCAGCAGGUCGGGGGUUCGAAUCCUCUCGCCGGCU
rnacentral:tRNA from 1 species